rnacentral:rRNA from 1 species
UACGUAGGGUGCGAGCGUUAAUCGGAAUACUGGGCGUAAAGCGUGCGCAGGCGGUUUUGUAAGUCAGAUGUGAAAUCCCCGGGCUCAACCUGGGAACUGCGUUUGAAACUGCAAGGCUAGAGUAUGGGAGAGGGAGGUAGAAUUCCACGUGUAGCAGUGAAAUGCGUAGAGAUGUGGAGGAAUACCAAUGGCGAAGGCAGCCUCCUGGCCUAAUACUGACGCUCAU